rnacentral:rRNA from 1 species
CCUACGGGAGGCAGCAGUGGGGAAUAUUGGGCAAUGGGCGCAAGCCUGACCCAGCAACGCCGCGUGCAGGAAGAAGGCUUUCGGGUUGUAAACUUCUUUUGUCAGGGACGAAACAAGUGACGGUACCUGACGAAUAAGCCACGGCUAACUACGUGCCAGCAGCCGCGGUAAUACGUAGGUGGCAAGCGUUAUCCGGAUUUACUGGGUGUAAAGGGCGUGUAGGCGGGACUGCAAGUCAGAUGUGAAAACCACGGGCUCAACCUGUGGCCUGCAUUUGAAACUGUGUUUCUUGAGUGCUGGGGAGGCAAUCGGAAUUCCGUGUGUAGCGGUGAAAUGCGUAGAUAUACGGAGGAACACCAGUGGCGAAGGCGGAUUGCUGGACAGUAACUGACGCUGAGGCGCGAAAGCGUGGGGAGCAAACAGGAGUAGAUACCCCAGUAGUC